GGAUUACGAGUGCAAGGUGCGCAAGCUGCUUGGAAAGCAGUUGACUCAAAAGGUUGCCGAGUUCGAUUCUCGGGUAGUCCGCCA
rnacentral:tRNA from 1 species